rnacentral:rRNA from 1 species
AGAUUAAGCCAUGCAUGUCUCAGUGCAGGCCUUAAAACGGUGAAACCGCGAAUGGCUCAUUAAAUCAGCUAUGGUUUAUUGGAUCGUACCCGUUAAAUGGAUAACUGUAAUAACUCUAGAGCUAAUACAUGCCCCGAUGCCCUGACCCCACUUGCAUGAGUGGGGAAUGGGUGCACUUAUUAGAUCAGAAGCCAACCAAUUGUGCGUGUGUGGCCUGGCUACACGCGUACGUUGAAGCACAGCGACGGGUCCUUCAAAUGUCUGCCCUAUCAACUUUCGAUGGUAGGUGACCUGCCUACCAUGGUGAUAACGGGUAACGGGGAAUCAGGGUUCGAUUCCGGAGAGGGAGCCUGAGAAACGGCUACCACUUCCAAGGGAGGCAGCAGGCGCGCAAAUUACCCACUCCCAGCACGGGGAGGUGGUGACGAAAAAUACCGAUGCGGGACUCCUUAAAGAGGCUCCGUAAUCGGAAUGAGUGGACUCUAAAUCCUUUCACGAGGAUCAAUUGGAGGGCAAGUCUGGUGCCAGCAGCCGCGGUAACUCCAGCUCCAAUAGCGUAUAUUAAAGUUGCUGCAGUUAAAAAGCUCGUAGCUGGAUCUCGGUGGCAUUGUUGCCUGUUAGCAUUUGAGCGGCUGGUGUGUGACUAUCAGCGCUCAAGCCUGUUGGCCGUUUACUGGCUAUUGACCGGUUGAGUUUGCUGUUGUGCAUGUGUGUGCGUAUAUGGAUGCCGUCUGUGCGUCUAUUAUGCAUGCGCUUGUGUGCAUACAUGCAGGCAUAAUAACUGGUUACUUUGAACAAAUUUGAGUGCUCAAAUCAGGCCGAUGUUGCCUGAAAAGUUUUGCAUGGAAUAAUGGAAUAGGACUUCGGUUCUAUUUCGUUGGUUUUCGGAUCCGAAGUAAUGAUCAAAAGAGACAGGCGGGGACGUUUGUAUGGCUGCGCUAGAGGUGAAAUUCAUGGACCGUAGCCAGACAAACUAAAGCGAAAGCAUUCGUCAAGCAUGUUUUCAUUGGCCAUGAGCGAAAGUCAGAGGCUCGAAGACGAUCAGAUACCGUCCUAGUUCUGACCAUAAACGAUGCCAACUGACGAUCCGUGGUGGUAGUUAUAAAACCUUCCCCACGGGCAGUCCCCGGGAAACCUUUAAGUGUUUGGGUUCCGGGGGAAGUAUGGUUGCAAAGCUGAAACUUAAAGGAAUUGACGGAAGGGCACCACCAGGAGUGGAGCCUGCGGCUUAAUUUGACUCAACACGGGAAAACUCACCCGGGCCGGACACUAUGAGGAUUGACAGAUUGAUAGCUCUUUCUUGAUUUGGUGGUUGGUGGUGCAUGGCCGUUCUUAGUUGGUGGAGCGAUUUGUCUGGUUAAUUCCGAUAACGAACGAGACUCCGGCCUGCUAA